AAGGGAGACCUAAUUCCGGUAGGAGACGAAAAAAAAGUAGUCCCAACCAAGAAUCAAUCCCAAAAGGUCGGAACGAGGUAUGAGGCUUUCAAACUAGGUUCUGGGUUCAUAAAAGACCUGAAUCAGGAACAAGGGCUAUUAGCUCAGGUGGUUAGAGCGCACCCCUGAUAAGGGUGAGGUCCCUGGUUCGAGUCCAGGAUGGCCCACCUGCACAGGUGGCAAAAACAAGAGAGGCUCCGAAUCAGCACCUUAUCUUAUAUACAUAUAUAAGAGAGAAUGCUGGCUCUGAGUACAGAGUCCAGAGGAACCUUGAAAACUGCAUAGAGCUAGGUGAAAAAGCCAAAAAAGAAGACCGCAA
rnacentral:tRNA from 1 species